GGCCUCGUGGAACAAUGGAUAACGCGGCGGUCUUCUGAACCAAGGACUGCAGGUUCGAAUCCUGCCAAGGUCG
rnacentral:tRNA from 1 species